AGUGAACGCUGGCGGUAGGCCUAACACAUGCAAGUCGAACGGCAGCACAGUAAGAGCUUGCUCUUACGGGUGGCGAGUGGUGGACGGGUGAGGAAUACAUCGGAAUCUACUUUUUCGUGGGGGAUAACGUAGGGAAACUUACGCUAAUACCGCAUACGACCUACGGGUGAAAGCAGGGGAUCUUCGGACCUUGCGCGAUUGAAUGAGCCGAUGUCGGAUUAGCUAGUUGGCGGGGUAAAGGCCCACCAAGGCGACGAUCCGUAGCUGGUCUGAGAGGAUGAUCAGCCACACUGGAACUGAGACACGGUCCAGACUCCUAAGGGAGGCAGCAGUGGGGAAUAUUGGACAAUGGGCGCAAGCCUGAUCCAGCCAUACCGCGUGGGUGAAGAAGGCCUUCGGGUUGGAAAGCCCUUUUGUUGGGAAAGAAAAGCAGCAGGUUAAUACCCCGCUGUUCUGACGGUACCCAAAGAAUAAGCACCGGCUAACUUCGUG
rnacentral:rRNA from 1 species